rnacentral:misc_RNA from 1 species
GAUGAAGAACGUAGCGAAAUGCGAUAAGUAGUGUGAAUUGCAGAAUUCAGUGAAUCAUCGAAUCUUUGAACGCACAUUGCGCCCCUUGGUAUUCCAUGGGGCAUGCCUGUUCGAGCGUCAUCUACACCCUCAAGCUCUGCUUGGUGUUGGGCGUCUGUCCCGCCCCCGCGCGUGGACUCGCCCCAAAUCCAUUGGCAGCGUUCCUUGCCCCCUCUCGCGCAGCACAUUGCGCUUCUCGAGGGCGGCUCCGGGACGCGAUCCAGCAAGAUGACCACCGUCUUUGACCUCGGAUCAGGUAGGGAUACCCGCUGAACUUAAGCAUAUCAAUAAGCGGAGGA